rnacentral:rRNA from 1 species
GGGUUGUGAGGUUAAGCGACUAAGCGUACACGGUGGAUGCCCUGGCAGUCAGAGGCGAUGAAGGGCGUGCUAAUCUGCGAUAAGCGCCGGUAAGGUGAUAUGAACCGUUAUAACCGGCGAUACCCGAAUGGGGAAACCCAGUGUGACUCGUCACACUAUCAUUAACUGAAUCCAUAGGUUAAUGAGGCGAACCGGGGGAACUGAAACAUCUAAGUACCCCGAGGAAAAGAAAUCAACCGAGAUUCCCCCAGUAGCGGCGAGCGAACGGGGAGGAGCCCAGAGCCUGAAUCAGCAUGUGUGUUAGUGGAAGCGUCUGGAAAGGCGCGCGAUACAGGGUGACAGCCCCGUACACAAAAGCGCAUGUGCUGUGAGCUCGAUGAGUAGGGCGGGACACGUGGUAUCCUGUCUGAAUAUGGGGGGACCAUCCUCCAAGGCUAAAUACUCCUGACUGACCGAUAGUGAACCAGUACCGUGAGGGAAAGGCGAAAAGAACCCCGGCGAGGGGAGUGAAAAAGAACCUGAAACCGUGUACGUACAAGCAGUGGGAGCCCCACCACCAAAGCAUUCUCUGGUGUUGAAGGCCCUGCAAAGCAGCAUCGCGGUGGCGGAGCGUCGUUUGCGACGCCCAACACACAAAACAAGCGGUGAGUGCUUUGGGGUGGGGUGACUGCGUACCUUUUGUAUAAUGGGUCAGCGACUUAUAUUCUGUAGCAAGGUUAACCGAAUAGGGGAGCCGGAGGGAAACCGAGUCUUAACCGGGCGUUAAGUUGCAGGGUAUAGACCCGAAACCCGGUGAUCUAGCCAUGGGCAGGUUGAAGGUUGGGUAACACUAACUGGAGGACCGAACCGACUAAUGUUGAAAAAUUAGCGGAUGACCUGUGGCUGGGGGUGAAAGGCCAAUCAAACCGGGAGAUAGCUGGUUCUCCCCGAAAGCUAUUUAGGUAGCGCCUCGUGAAUUCAUCUCCGGGGGUAGAGCACUGUUUCGGCUAGGGGGCCAUCCCGGCUUACCAACCCGAUGCAAACUGCGAAUACCGGAGAAUGUUAUCACGGGAGACACACGGCGGGUGCUAACGUCCGUCGUGAAGAGGGAAACAACCCAGACCGCCAGCUAAGGUCCCAAAGUCAUGGUUAAGUGGGAAACGAUGUGGGAAGGCCCAGACAGCCAGGAUGUUGGCUUAGAAGCAGCCAUCAUUUAAAGAAAGCGUAAUAGCUCACUGGUCGAGUCGGCCUGCGCGGAAGAUGUAACGGGGCUAAACCAUGCACCGAAGCUGCGGCAGCGACACUCAGGUGUUGUUGGGUAGGGGAGCGUUCUGUAAGCCUGCGAAGGUGGCCUGUGAGGGUUGCUGGAGGUAUCAGAAGUGCGAAUGCUGACAUAAGUAACGAUAAAGCGGGUGAAAAGCCCGCUCGCCGGAAGACCAAGGGUUCCUGUCCAACGUUAAUCGGGGCAGGGUGAGUCGACCCCUAAGGCGAGGCCGAAAGGCGUAGUCGAUGGGAAACGGGUUAAUAUUCCCGUACUUGGUGUUACUGCGAAGGGGGGACGGAGAAGGCUAUGUUGGCCGGGCGACGGUUGUCCCGGUUUAAGCGUGUAGGUGUGUGUUCCAGGUAAAUCCGGUUCACUUUAACACUGAGGCGUGACGACGAGGCACUACGGUGCUGAAGCAACAAAUGCCCUGCUUCCAGGAAAAGCCUCUAAGCAUCAGGUAACAUCAAAUCGUACCCCAAACCGACACAGGUGGUCAGGUAGAGAAUACCAAGGCGCUUGAGAGAACUCGGGUGAAGGAACUAGGCAAAAUGGUGCCGUAACUUCGGGAGAAGGCACGCUGACACGUAGGUGAAGUGAUUUACUCAUGGAGCUGAAGUCAGUCGAAGAUACCAGCUGGCUGCAACUGUUUAUUAAAAACACAGCACUGUGCAAACACGAAAGUGGACGUAUACGGUGUGACGCCUGCCCGGUGCCGGAAGGUUAAUUGAUGGGGUCAGCGCAAGCGAAGCUCCUGAUCGAAGCCCCGGUAAACGGCGGCCGUAACUAUAACGGUCCUAAGGUAGCGAAAUUCCUUGUCGGGUAAGUUCCGACCUGCACGAAUGGCGUAAUGAUGGCCAGGCUGUCUCCACCCGAGACUCAGUGAAAUUGAACUCGCUGUGAAGAUGCAGUGUACCCGCGGCAAGACGGAAAGACCCCGUGAACCUUUACUAUAGCUUGACACUGAACAUUGAGCCUUGAUGUGUAGGAUAGGUGGGAGGCUUUGAAGUGUGGACGCCAGUCUGCAUGGAGCCGGCCUUGAAAUACCACCCUUUAAUGUUUGAUGUUCUAACGUGGACCCGUGAUCCGGGUUGCGGACAGUGUCUGGUGGGUAGUUUGACUGGGGCGGUCUCCUCCUAAAGAGUAACGGAGGAGCACGAAGGUUGGCUAAUCCUGGUCGGACAUCAGGAGGUUAGUGCAAUGGCAUAAGCCAGCUUGACUGCGAGCGUGACGGCGCGAGCAGGUGCGAAAGCAGGUCAUAGUGAUCCGGUGGUUCUGAAUGGAAGGGCCAUCGCUCAACGGAUAAAAGGUACUCCGGGGAUAACAGGCUGAUACCGCCCAAGAGUUCAUAUCGACGGCGGUGUUUGGCACCUCGAUGUCGGCUCAUCACAUCCUGGGGCUGAAGUAGGUCCCAAGGGUAUGGCUGUUCGCCAUUUAAAGUGGUACGCGAGCUGGGUUUAGAACGUCGUGAGACAGUUCGGUCCCUAUCUGCCGUGGGCGCUGGAGAACUGAGGGGGGCUGCUCCUAGUACGAGAGGACCGGAGUGGACGCAUCACUGGUGUUCGGGUUGUCAUGCCAAUGGCACUGCCCGGUAGCUAAAUGCGGAAGAGAUAAGUGCUGAAAGCAUCUAAGCACGAAACUUGCCCCGAGAUGAGUUCUCCCUGAGACUUUAGGUCUCCUGAAGGAACGUUGAAGACGACGACGUUGAUAGGCCGGGUGUGUAAGCGCAGCGAUGCGUUGAGCUAACCGGUACUAAUGAACCGUGAGGCUUAACCUUACAACGCCGAAG